GACGAACGCUGGCGGCGUGCUUAACACAUGCAAGUCGAACGGAAAGGCCCCUUUGGGGGUACUCGAGUGGCGCACGGGUGCGUAACACGUGAGUAACCUGCCCUUGACUUCGGGAUAACUUCAGGAAACUGGGGCUAAUACCGGAUAGGAAUCCUUGCUGCAUGGUGGGGGUUGGAAAGCUUCGGCGGUUUUGGAUGGACUCGCGGCUUAUCAGCUUGUUGGUGGGGUAGUGGCUUACCAAGGCUUUGACGGGUAGCCGGCCUGAGAGGGCGACCGGCCACAUUGGGACUGAGAUACGGCCCAGACUCCUACGGGAGGCAGCAGUGGGGAAGAUUGCACAAUGGGCGGAAGCCUGAUGCAGCAACGCCGCGUGCGGGAUGACGGCCUUCGGGUUGUAAACCGCUUUCAGCAGGGGCGAAGCUUGUGGUGACGGUACCUGCAGAAGAAGCACCGGCUAACUACGUG
rnacentral:rRNA from 1 species